rnacentral:lncRNA from 1 species
UUUUUUUCAUAUCGGUUGGGAAAUUCUAAGGUAGAAGCCCAUCCACAUGAACUCGCAUACUGGCAGCUGAUUGAGUGAUGAUGUCUAGUGCUUUUUCCAGUGCUAAUAAUGGUAUUUUCAAUCUAUAGACUUUAGACCAAGGGCAUUAGCGUAUCCCUCCUUCGUCCUUCUGUUUUUUAAAAAAAAAAUAAAUCAAAAAGAAAAAAAAAAAAGGUGGGUCGACAAC